rnacentral:misc_RNA from 1 species
AACGCACAUUGCGCCCCUUGGCAUUCCAUGGGGCAUGCCUGUUCGAGCGUCAUCUAAACCCUCAAGCCCCCGGCUUGGUGUUGGGUGCCUGUCCCCGCUCCCCGCGCGGACUCACCCCAAAUGCAUUGGCAGCCGCCUCUCGGCUUCUUGCGCAGCACAGUGCGCAGCGAGGCGAGGUGAGGCGUGCGUCCAGCAAGCAACCACCCAAGUUUGACCUCGGAUCAGGUAGGGAUACCCGCUGAACUUAA